GACCUCAAGUCAAGUGAGAGUACCCGCUGAACUUAAGCAUAUCAAUAAGCGGAGGAAAAGAAACUAACAAGGAUUCCCCUAGUAACGGCGAGUGAAGCGGGAAGAGCGCAAAUUUUAAAUCUAUCUGGUUUACCAGGUCGAGUUGUAAUUUGAAGAAACGUUUUUAAUAUUCCGGGUUGGUUUAAAUCCUUUGGGAUAAGGUAUCAUGGAGGGUGAGAAUCCCGUAUAUAUCAACCUCCGGGAUGUUAUAAAUACGUUUUCUAAGAGUCGAGUUGUUUGGGAAUGCAGCUCUAAAUGGGUGGUAAAUUUCACCUAAUGCUAAAUAUACGCGAGAGACCGAUAGCGAACAAGUACCGUGAGGGAAAGAUGAAAAGAACUUUGAAAAGAGAGUUAAAUAGUAUGUGAAAUUGUUGAAAGGGAAACGAUUGAAG
rnacentral:rRNA from 1 species